UAAUGUUGUCACCUACAAUUC
rnacentral:siRNA from 1 species